AUGUCUGCAGACGUUGCCUCAUGUCCCCUGGGGGACACAUCAUCCCAUCCCCCGUGGAGAAGCCUGGGCCCAGGUCGCACAAACACUGGAAUCAGCUGCUCCAUCCACCUGAAGCCCAGACAGCCUGAUGUGGGGACACGGCCACUCGUGUUCUUUAUUUUUUUUUUAAGAUUUUAUUUAUUUAUUCAUGAGAGACACAAAGAGGGAGGCAGAGACAGGCAGAGGGAGAAGAAGGCUCCUCACAGGGACCCGGAUUGGGGACUUGAUCCCAGGACCCUGGGGUCACGACCUGAGCCGAAGGCAGAUCCUCGAUUGCUGAGCCACCCAGGCGUCCCGGUCACUCGUGUUCUGGAUGAAGAAAUGCACGGAGAGAGCGAACAGGGAAGCUAUCUAAGCAAACACACCUCUAAACCGGGGUCAGGCGCAAGCAUGAGGCCGUGUCUAUGCAGUCACCCUGCGCCGCUGAACCUCGCAGGAGAACACGACGUGGCUGCUCUUAUCUCCCCUUCACUGCACCGAUCGUGGCACUACACGUUUUCUAGAAUCAUUGCCUUGAAUCCUCGCCAGACAGAACAAAAAACACACCGCUGUUUGCAGAGGGGAGCACAGGGAGGUUAAGUGACAUGCCCAGGGUCACACACGGUGACCUUGCAGGUGUGGACACAUCCUCAGGCUUCUGUUUCUUGUUCUAUGCGUGAGUGGGGCCUCUGACCAUUCCCACCUUGUAGGAUGGGAAUACUGGUUCCCCCCCUUUCUCCUUCCUUCCUGUCCCUUCCCACUUGUGCAAGGGGCCUGGGGGCCCUGAGAGGAGGAACAAGGUGUGAGGCUGAGGGGGUGAGCGUCUAAAUUCCAGAGUGUCGGAAACUUGGGCCGGGGGCGAUGGCCCAGUCAGCUCCUUUGUGUCUCUAAACCUGAUACUGAGGCCAGAGAUUCUAGGUCCCAGCUCUGGUUUGCCUCUGCUCCCCAAGGGGCGGAGCUUGCAUCUCCAACCUGAGCCUCAGUUUCUCCAUCUAUAAGAUGAAAAGGCUGGCUUUGGUGGUCUGGGGUUCUUGGAGUUGGUAACGAUGGCUGUCACCGUCUCCAGCACUGACACCCUGAGAUUUCCUUGGUAAGUAAAGCCAUGUGGAAUGCCAUCUCCCCUCAAAGAUCAUGCAGCCCCCGGCCUCUAUAUCCACCCGAGGUCCACUGAGACCCCUGUCUCCUCUUCCACUCCUCUGGGCCCCGACAGCCAGGUGGACACAAAUAUGGUCGCUUCUAGGUGGCGGGUGGGGUGGGGCAGCCACACUGGUGUUCUCUCCUGGCAAAGCACCAGAGUCAGAGCUCUGGGAGCGCUGGGGGGGUCACCCCAACACGUCCCCCCACCCCCGCCCAGCCCUCUUCACAGGUGGCAGAGGGGCCCCGAGCCCUCCCUUUCGCACACACCUCUGCUUGGCCGCUGGUGCCUGCUGAGCCCGGGGAGGGCUGUCAAGCACUGCAGGUAUGUCACGUUAUCGCCCGGGCCGGCUCCAAGGCAAACAGAUAAAAAUGACACAGGGCCUUGUCGCAGCUGGCUUGGCUGCGGGCUGCAGGCUCCAAAGCAAGCCAGCUUUGGCCUUGCACCGUUCCGUGUGAAGGAACCGGAAAUGGGAACACCUUUAAAAUCUCGGUGCUGGCCUUGCGGGCUGCUUUGAAGAGCUUCUUCCUCCUGGCUGGUCAGGCCUGGCGGCCGGUGUAGACUGUGUGCAUGCGUCUGCUGCGGUGGCAUGGGCUGUUCGGAGGAGAGCGAGGAGAAGUCGAGCUAGUGUGAGGUAAGGAGCCCAGGAGACCCGUGGUUGGGGGGAACAGGCUAGGAGCGGACUAUGAAGAACACCACAGGGAUCCCUGGGUGGCGCAGCGGUUUAGCGCCUGCCUUUGGCCCAGGGCGCGAUCCUGGAGACCCGGGAUCGAAUCCCACGUCGGGCUCCCGGUGCAUGGAGCCUGCUUCUCCCUCUGCCUAUGUCUCUACCUCUCUCUCUCUCUGUGUGACUAUCAUAAAUAAAUAAAAAUUAAAAAAAAAAAAAAGAAUGUCA
ensembl:lncRNA